AUUGAACGCUGGCGGCAUGCUUUACACAUGCAAGUCGAACGGUAACAGGGUGCUUGCACCGCUGACGAGUGGCGAACGGGUGAGUAAUGCGUCGGAACGUGCCGAGUAGUGGGGGAUAACGCAGCGAAAGUUGUGCUAAUACCGCAUACGUACUGAGGUAGAAAGUGGGGGACCUUCGGGCCUCACGCUAUUCGAGCGGCCGACGUCUGAUUAGCUAGUAGGUGAGGUAAAGGCUCACCUAGGCGACGAUCAGUAGCGGGUCUGAGAGGAUGAUCCGCCACACUGGGACUGAGACACGGCCCAGACUCCUACGGGAGGCAGCAGUGGGGAAUUUUGGACAAUGGGCGAAAGCCUGAUCCAGCCAUGCCGCGUGUCUGAAGAAGGCCUUCGGGUUGUAAAGGACUUUUGUCGGGGAGGAAAUCCCCAGCGUUAAUACCGCUGGGGGAUGACAGUACCCGAAGAAUAAGCACCGGCUAACUACGUGCCAGUAGCAGCCGCGGUAA
rnacentral:rRNA from 1 species